UUAAGUUCAGCGGGUAUUCCUACCUGAUCCGAGGUCAACCUUGCUAAAAGGGGGGUGUUUAACGGCAAGAUAGCACGCCGCACGACCGGAGCGAGAUGUGUUACUACGCUCGGACAUGACAGCGAGCCCGCCACUGGUUUUGAGGGUCUGCGGGCAGCCGCAGGACCCCAACGCAAGCAGAGCUUGAUGGUUGAAAUGAC
rnacentral:misc_RNA from 1 species